AACGAACGCUGGCGGCAUGCCUAACACAUGCAAGUCGAACGAGACCUUCGGGUCUGGUGGCGCACGGGUGCGUAACGCGUGGGAACCUGCCCUUAGGUUCGGAAUAACUCCCCGAAAGGGGUGCUAAUACCGGAUAAUGUCUUCGGACCAAAGGUUUAUCGCAUUUGGAUGGGCCCGCGUUGGAUUGGCUAGUUGGUAGGGUAAAAGCGUACCAAGGGGAGGAUCCAUAGCUGGUUAGAGAGGAUGAGCAGCCACACUGGGACUGAGACACGGCCCAGACUCCUACGGGAGGCGGCAGUGGGGAAUAUUGGACAAUGGGCGAAAGCCUGAUCCAGCUAGGCCGCGUGAGUGAUGAAGGCCGUGGGGUUGUAAAGCUCUUUUAUCCGGGAUGAUAAUGACAGUACCGGGAGAAUAAGCACCGGCUAACUCCGUG
rnacentral:rRNA from 1 species